GAGGGUAUAGCUCAGUGGUAGAGUGUGUGCUUAGGACACAUGAGGUCCUCGGUUCAAUCCCUAGUACCUCCA
rnacentral:tRNA from 1 species